rnacentral:rRNA from 1 species
GUAACAAGGUUUCCGUAGGUGAACCUGCGGAAGGAUCAUUACUGUAAGGAAAUUGGGGGGUCUUGAGACUGCGCCGUUUCAUGGCGUGUGCUCGGCUCCUUACUCUCUUAACACACCCCGGGGGGUGCAAGUCCCCCCUUUUACAAACACCGAGUUAUACGCAUGUCUUUUAUGAUACUCUACGGAGUAAACAUAACAACUUUCAACAACGGAUCUCUUGGCUUUCGCAUCGAUGAAGAACGCAGCGAACGUGCGAAACGUAAUGUGAAUUGCAGAAUUCAGUGAAUCAUCGAAUCUUUGAACGCAUCUUGCGCUCCUUGGUAUUCCGAGGAGCAUGCCUGUUUGAGUGUCGUGAAAUACUCUCAAUUUCAAUCUUUUUUGGUUUGAAAUUGGACUUGGAUGUUGUUGUGGCUUGGCUCACGACUCGUCCUAAAUGCAUUAGCGGAUCUGCUUGAUCACACACAAUGUGAUAAGAUGUUGAGCAUUGUUACAAUCAAGUCAUGACUGCUUCUAACCGUCCCUUGGGACAACACGUCUUAUGUCGUUUGACCUCAAAUUCAGGUAGGACUACCCGCUGAACUUAAGCA